GGAACAGCCCACUUCCUGAACACAUGAGCCUGAAAGCACAGCCUCUGCAGCUGAGAAUCAGAAGAGGGCGCCCUAACUGGGAUUCCUAAAUGUCACCUCCUAUGAAGAUAGCAGAAGCUGGCCGUUCCCAGACACUGGAACAGAUACGUGACCUGAGAGACCUGCGUGUGGAAGGGCCGUGAUGAGUGCGGGGUCAGCUGGCGGCCAUGGCGACAGAGGGGUCAGUCUGCGGCCUCGGUUCAUCUCUCGGUCAACAUCAGAUGGAAGACAGCGGCGUAAACAGGCAUCAUUAGGCCACAGCCA
rnacentral:lncRNA from 1 species